rnacentral:rRNA from 1 species
GACGAACCGAGCGAACGUUGUUCGGAAUCACUGGGCUUAAAGGGCGCGUAGGCGGGCCGCCGCGUCCGGGGUGAAAUCCUCCCGCUCAACGGGAGAACGGCCUCGGAUACGGGCGGCCUGGAGGGGGGUAGGGGCGUGCGGAACUGUGGGUGGAGCGGUGAAAUGCGUUGAUAUCCACAGGAACUCCGGUGGCGAAGGCGG